AUGCCGGCUCUUCUUCUGCUCUUGCUGUUGAGCUUGAGCAUGGGCGGAGAGCUGGUCCCGUGCUCAUCCGCCGGCGAGGGCCAGUUCGCCUUCCAGGGCUUCGCGGCGGCGAACCUUACGCUGGAUGGUCUCGCCGCCGUCAUGCCCAACGGCCUGCUCGCGCUCACCAACUUCACUCUCCAGACAAAAGGCCAUGCCUUCAACCCCACCCCUCUCCGCUUCCUCGACGUCAACGGGGCGACCAACUCCACUGCCGUGGCGCGCUCCUUCUCCACAUCCUUCGUGUUCGCCAUCGUCUCCAACUACGACGGCCUGAGCGACCAAGGGCUCGCCUUCGUGGUCGCCCCGACCACCAACUUCUCAACGGCGAUCGCCGGGCAGUAUCUGGGCCUCCUCGACGCCACGAACGGCGCCGCGAGCGACCACAUAUUGGCAGUCGAGCUCGACACCAUCAUGAACCCCGAGUUCCGCGACAUCAACAGCAACCACGUGGGCAUCAACGUCAACAGCCUCAUUUCGCGGAAGGCCAAGCCGGCCGGCUACUACGGCGAUGACGGUGCCACCUUUCGAGACCUGAUGUUGAACAGCCGCGAGCCGAUGCAGGUGUGGGUGGACUACGAUGGCCAGGCCAGGCAACUCAACGUGACACUGGCUCCUGCGCACGAGCCCAAACCCAGGUAUCCUCUCCUCUCUGAAGCCAUUGACCUCUCCUCUGUCCUCACGGAGACAAUGUAUGUUGGCUUCUCGUCGUCAUCCGGCGUGGUGUCAACGCACCACUAUGUGCUUGGAUGGAGCUUCAGCUUGGACGGGCCUGCCCCGCCUCUUGAUUUCUCUAAGCUUCCAGCACUGCCACGUGUGGGUUCGAAGCAUCGGUCCAUGGUCUUGGCUCUCGUGCUACCACUAGCAACCGUAUUGAUCAUCGCCGCGGUGCUAGCUGCCGCCUCCUUCUUUGUGUGGCGUCGGCGUCGAUUUGCUGAGGUGCGCGAAGAUUGGGAGGAUGAGUUCGGCCCACACCGGUUCGCAUAUAAAGAUCUAUUUCGUGCCACUGAUGGAUUCAAGAAUGGAAAUUUACUCGGUGCCGGAGGGUUUGGCAAAGUAUACAAAGGGGUACUUCCUGGAUCCAAUUUGGAAAUCGCGGUGAAGAGAGUAUCACAUGACUCAAGACAAGGUAUAAGAGAGUUCAUUGCUGAAGUGGUGACCAUUGGUCGUCUCCGCCACAGGAAUCUGGCACAGUUACAAGGCUAUUGCCGGCGCAAUGGUGAACUUCUCUUGGUGUAUGACUACAUGGAAAAUGGUAGCCUUGACAAGUACUUGUACAAUAACAAUGGGCCAACUUUGGAUUGGCCUCAAAGAUAUUGGAUCAUCAAAGGUGUUGCAUCAAGUUUACUGUAUCUUCAUGAGGAUUGGGAACAAGUCGUCAUCCACCGAGAUAUAAAGGCAAGCAAUGUGCUUUUAGAUAAGCAGAUGAAUGGAAGGCUCGGCGAUUUUGGCCUAGCAAGGUUGUACGAUCAUGGCACUGAUGCUCAAACAACACAUGUGGUUGGCACUAUGGGAUACCUCGCACCAGAACUUGUACGCACUGGGAAGGCAACACCUUCAACCGAUGUAUUUGCAUUUGGUGUGUUUCUCCUAGAGGUUGUCUGUGGACGCAGGCCCAUUGAAAGUGGUCAGCAUAACAAUAGGGUGGUGUUAGUCGACUGGGUGCUUGAACACCACCGCAAUGGCUCAAUCAUUGACACGGUGGAUCCACGCCUCAUGGGUAAAUUCAACACAGAUGAGGUCACUCUUGUGCUCAAACUAGGUUUGUUGUGCACGCACCCAUCGCCCAAUGUGAGGCCUCCUGUGCAAAAGGUCAUGCAAUACCUCGAUGGUGUCCAAUUAGUUCCUGAUUUACCAUCGACAUACAUGAGCUACAGCAUGUUGGUUCUCAUGGAGAAUGAAGGGUUUGAUUCAUACAUCAUGUCAUGCCCUCCGCCAGGGAUGACCAUCUGCAGUGUAUCUGACGUGUCGUCGGCAACGGUUCUUCUAGAUGGGAGAUGA
rnacentral:rRNA from 1 species